rnacentral:rRNA from 1 species
UACGUAGGGAGCAAGCGUUGUCCGGAAUCAUUGGGCGUAAAGCGCGCGUAGGUGGCCUCAUAAGUCCGCUGUGAAAGUCAAAGGCUCAACCUUUGAAAGCCCGGUGGAUACUGUGAGGCUAGAGUACGGAAGAGGCGAGUGGAAUUCCUGGUGUAGCGGUGGAAUGCGCAGAUAUCAGGAGGAACACCAAUAGCGAAGGCAGCUCGCUGGGACGUUACUGACACUGAGGCGCGAAAGCGUGGGGAGCGAACAGG